GGAGACCUGAGGCUUACACAUCCCGCUCAUUUAGCUCAACCUGAUGCACCUGAGGGCUAUUGAACUAGAAAACCCAGUAGUAGGGAGUUGGUUGGGAAGGAGGAUAGAUUCUUUCCUUGGAGAGCAUACAGGUUAUGAAUGUCAGGCAUUGGGAAGGAGGAGGUUUUAUACCCUGGGGAGCAAAGCCCUGCAAAGAAUACCCCUGCUGUGAAGAAGGAUAAAGUAGGAAGUAUCAGGGAAUGGAGGAACGUUCGCUUCAGCUGUUGUAUAUUGGAUCCCUGAGCUGGAACCCAGUAGAGUAGGCAGACUGGGUUCCCCUCCCAACACAAACCAAUAGGGGUGUGAUCUCACCAAAUGCACAGGUCAUCACCUUAGACUCUGGCAAAGUCUGGAGGAGAGCAAGCUGGACAGUCUGCAAUGCCUGGAUUUCUCUGGGAGGAGAGCUCCAAAAUGAACUGUAUGUUAGCUCUGCUCAGCUGGACAAGAGGAGAAUGGCAUCCAAGUGGGAAUUUUCUUACUCAGGUCUGGCAGCUGCUCUCAGUACUGCUGAUGCACAAACUGCUUCUGUAUGUUCCAACACAAUUUAGUGGCUCACCUUCAAGAGGAGAGGGGUACAGGGUGUCAGCAGCCCAAAGUAGCUUCGGCCUGGUGCCUACCCUCUGCUGCAUUUCCUGUUGGCUAGCUGCCUGCUCACCAUGCAGACUGUUGGAUUGGCAUUCUGAGGUGCCUGUCCUUCCCUGUGCACUGAAUACGGAGCCUAAAUACCUAACACAGGGUUUAUAUUCCAUGCUGCGGGUCAGGUGCUGGAGAACUUUGGCAUUGUAAACUCUCACUUGUAUUUGCUGCAACCCUGUGUUGGUUCAAAACCAAACUGUCUGCUCCGAGAGACAAGUAUUUCCUAUUUAACUAUAUGAACGCCUUGGACCAAAUUAAGAGUUAAACUUAGAAGCGCCAGGCAUUGUGCUGAGUGCUGUACGAACACAGAACAAGCCACAAGCCCUGCCCUGAAAAAAAGGUCCCAUGAGGAAAGAUGAACACGCUUCCUGUGCCUCUCCCCUGCACUGAACCCUCAGAUGAGACUUUUAACACAGAUACGCUCUUCCCAUAGUUAAUAGCAAAUCCCCUCAGUGAACUCUCUGAGCAAAUCAUGUUUCUGCCCUUCAGUUUCUUCAGCCAUCACUAUAUCUCUGAACUUUUCUUCCAGUGAGAUUGUACUUUGGACACUUAAAAAACAAACAAAAAGAGGCCAGAGAGGAUUUGAGGUCAGGACGCACUGACAUCACUUUCACUUCUCCUCUUGUUUAACCUCUCUGGUUAUCCUUUUGCAACAGAGAGGCCAUCUGUUACUGCUUUGUCUUUGUUGUUAAGGACAAAGUAGCUCAGAAACUCAAUUGCAAUUAACUUGUUCCUUGAAUUUGCGCUUCACUAGUUUUUUAGGAAUGAAACUUUUUCCUUUAAUGUUAAAAUGUUAGCAGUAUCUUGCUCUUGUACCCCCUGGUCCUCUUCCAUUAACGAUGAAUAAACAAUGUUUUUAAAUGAGCUGGUAUGGUAUGUUGUAUGAGUAAUGUACCCUAAUGAAGAACACUGGGACAGACGAAAUGCAAAAUAAUGUGCCACCAAAAACAUAUUACUCUGAAAAAUAUAGAAAGCAUCAAUAUAAAAACAACUCGGUUUGGAAUGUGGUGGCUACAUUUCUGCAGGCAGAAGAAAUAAAACUAACUUGUGGACAAAACUGCCCCAGCGUGUGUCUAGAUGUUGUUUAUGUCAAUUAAAAAUGAUUUAUAUUUACAGAUUGCUAAAGAUCAACUGAAAAAUAAUUCAGCCAAUUAUAACUUGAAAAUGUGUUGUACUUAUGAGUGGGGAGCAAGUUUGGCUACAUUGACUGUCGUGUUCAUAUGUUGGCUAGAGUUAAUUUUGCAAUGGAAAUUAAAUGUGCUUUGAGCAAAUGAAGGAAAUACAUCAGCUGGAAACUCUCCACAUAUAAAUCUAAAUUUGACUUUGGUCUAAGAAAACACGCAGAGUUAUGAUAGUUUUUUACACUAUGUUUGUCUCAGAUGAUUACCUUUUAAAAAUGCUUUCAGUAGAAUGCUUCUAGGUGCCAUUGUACUGUUGUAAUGUGUAGUAAUUUAUACUAUUAAUGGCCUGAAAACAAAUAUAUAGCAAACUUCUCCAUUAACUAAAAUCAAAUUUUAUUAAAAAGGAUGCUGUGAUGUGAAAUUACUGUGUUUAUUUUUAAAUUAAGCAUUAUGCUGGCACAUAUUAAAUGUGCAAUUGAAUGGUACAUGUAUUAUGCAUAUACUGUACACUACUUCUGCUACAUUUAUUAUUAGUUGCAAACACAAACUAUCUUAAAAAAACUAUGACUUUUUGUUAGUCAUAGUUACUUAGGAAAGUGCUGAUGACAUUAAUUGUAAUUUUACAGUUAGGUGGUAAUUGUGAUCAGUUAUUGUUACCUACAUGAUGGAGAAAAAAUGUACCCUUACUAUUGGUCUAUAUUUUCAUGGGAGAUCAAACAAAUGAGGUUUACUACUAGACACUAAAGUGCUAUUUACAGGACUCGAUGCUGCCAACUGUAAGUCUGGAAUCAAGUUACAGUUCAGAGUUAUUAUGGGAGUGUGUUGCAUAUUUCUCAAAUUAAAUGCAUCUCUGUAAUGAAUCGUGUGGACUAAUCUGACCCAGUAUUAUGUUUUUCUCAAUGCAUGUUGGUUGCUUCACUGUUCUAUAUUUAACUCGGAAAUCUGACAGUUGUCUGCACGCACUGUCUCAUGAGCCUGCAUGUCAACAUUAGACUGCAAUGAAAAUGGAAGUAUACCUGUAUGCCAUGCUAUCAGCUAUUUGCAAGCUGCAUGAUACCCAGUAAUGCUGAUCAGGGGAUGUCUCUGUGGUUUCUUAAUGGAGCUGUUAAAAGCAAGCAGAAUGCUUCCUUCACUGUAAUCAGACAAUACAUUAUAUAAAUAUGUUCAAUAACAAUAAAGUUAGACAUC